rnacentral:tRNA from 1 species
GUCUCCGUAGUUAAAUGGAUAUAACAGUGCUCUCCUAAAGCAUAGUUGUGGGUUCGAUUCCCGCCGGGGAUACCA